rnacentral:rRNA from 1 species
UUCCUACGGGGGGCUGCAGUCGAGGAUCUUCGGCAAUGGGCGCAAGCCUGACCGAGCGACGCCGCGUGGGCGACGAAGGCCUUCGGGUUGUAAAGCCCUGUCGAGGGGGAGAAAGGCGAAAGCUUGAUCUAUCCCUGGAGGAAGCACGGGCUAAGUUCGUGCCAGCAGCCGCGGUAAGACGAACCGUGCGAACGUUGUUCGGAAUCACUGGGCUUAAAGGGCGCGUAGGCGGGCCGCCGCGUCCGGGGUGAAAGCCUCCGGCUCAACCGGAGCAGGGCCUCGGGUACGGGCGGUCUAGAGGGGGGUAGGGGCGUGCGGAACACUGGGUGGAGCGGUGAAAUGCGUUGAUAUCCAGUGGAACUCCGGUGGCGAAGGCGGCACGCUGGAUCCCAUCUGACGCUGAGGCGCGAAAGCCAGGGGAGCGAACGGGAUUAGAUACCCUAGUAGUC